rnacentral:rRNA from 1 species
GGGGAAUAUUGCGCAAUGGGCGAAAGCCUGACGCAGCAACGCCGCGUGGAGGAUGAAGGCCUUCGGGUCGUAAACUUCUGUCAGGAGGGAAGAAGGUUGCCGGGCCAAUACCCCGGUUAACUUGACGGUACCUCCACAGGAAGCCCCGGCUAACUCCGUGCCAGCAGCCGCGGUAAGACGGAGGGUCCUAGCGUUGUUCGGAAUUACUGGGCGUAAAGGGCGCGUAGGCGGCCUGUUAAGUCGGGUGUGAAAGCCCGGGGCUCAACCCCGGAACGGCAUCCGAGACUGGCGGGCUCGAGACCGGGAGAGGAGGGUGGAAUACCCAGUGUAGAGGUGAAAUUCGUAGAUAUUGGGUGGAACACCGGUGGCGAAAGCGGCUCUCUGGCCCGGUUCUGACGCUGAGGCGCGAAAGCGUGGGGAGCAA